rnacentral:lncRNA from 1 species
CAUUAUCCAUCUGGAUCUACACAAUUCGGUGUGAGAUUCCUCAAGGACAGCCACCAACUCUGGCAUGCCAGGGGAACAGCUGCAUUUAAGCAAUCCAGUUUGGAAUUCAGUCCCCCCAGGAGUCUUCACUUUCAGUUUAUUUUACAUGAAAAGUGCUCCAUGGAGGUAGUCGGUCUUCUAAAGACCCAAGUAGACACCAUUACAAAGGUUUCAGAACAGUAUGCAAUGUUCCAGUAUCUGCACUAUAAACAAAAUAAUUUUGCUGAUUCUUCACACUACUUCUAUGUAUGGACUUACAAUUUUUUUACAAGCAUGGAUUAUAAUAAGUAUUCCUUAAUACUUAUCUGUAUUUCCAAAGUGAUGAAUGAAACCUUUCUCAAGUCUUUGAGGUUACUGCCCUGAAGUCCAAAAUUUGGAAUAGUAGCAAUUUUGUUACAUAACAUUAACAGUAGUUCUGAAUGAACUGAAUGAAAUUAAUUUUCCAAAUUUUUUGCUUCUUGGAAGUGAUUAAAAGGUCUGGACUCAAAGCUUUUGACAAACUAUCAAAUAUUAGAUAUCAGAAUCAUAGAAUCACAUAGAAUGGUUAGAGUUGGAAGGGACCUUAAAGAUCACUGAAUUCCAACCCCCCUGGCAGGGGGCAGGGACACCUCCCACUAGACCAGGUUGCUCAAAGCCUCAUCCAGCCUGGCCUUGAACACUUCCAGGGAUGGGGCAUCCACAACUUCCCUGGACAACCUGUUCCAGUGUCUCACCACCCUCACAGGAAAGAAUUUCUUCCUGAUAUCUAAUCUAAAUCUACCCUCUUUCAAUUUAAAAAUCUUACCCCUCGUCCUAUCACUAUACUCACCGAUGAAGAGUCCCUCCCCAGCUUUCCUGUAGGACCCCUUUAGGUACUGGAAGGCCACUGUAAGGUCUCCCUGGAGUGUUCUCCAGGAGAAACAACCCCAACUCUCUCAGUCUGUCUUCAUAGGAGAGGUGCUCCAGCCUCUUUAAAGGUCAUUUAGUCCAACCCCCCUGACCAUUUUUGUGGCCCUCCAUUGGACCCAUCCCAACAGGUCCAUAUCUUUCCUGUGUUAGGGGUUCCAGAGCUGGACGUGGUACUCCAGGUGGGGUCUUACCAGAGUGGAGAGGCAGGAUCACCUCCCUGGACCUGCUGACCAAGUUUCUUUGGAUGCAUCCCAGGAUGCGGUUGGCUUUCUGGGCUGCCAGCACGCAUUGCUGACUCAUGUUGAUCUUCCCAUCACCCAACACCCCCAAGUUCUUUUGCUCAGGGCUGCUCUCAACCUAUUCUCCACCCAGCCUUUAUUUGUGUAUUUAUGGCCCACAGUUCUGCUCUAAGUAACCCAAGGUGAUGCUCAAGUCCAUUCUGUACCAGUUUCCUAAUUUUCUCUUAGAAAAGGCAGGAUGUUCCCUGUUCAAAAGGACAGCUCGCUCUCCUGUGUAUCCGCUUUGUCCUGAAAAGGAACACUAAAUCAUAACUAGAUGUGAACUCUACAGUGGUACAUAGCUUUUUUUUUUUUUUCCCGAUAAGAAGGCCAGGGCUUCCUUUAGCGAACAUUAUCUUGUGCCAAUUCACAUAUGUAGAUGAAACAGGACUUCUUGUAGGUGUUGAUGAAAUUCAUCCUGUUGCAAAUUAGACCAUAUGGCACAUGAAAGCUCCCUCUAAUCCAAUUUGUAAAUUACACAAUGAAGGGGACUGAACCAAUUUAGGAUAUCCUUUCAUCCUGCCUCUCUCCUUCCCCACAACUGUGCAGUCACUAGACAUAUGCUCAAUUUUACUAAAUUGAGCACACCCAUAAAGGGGUCUGCUUUUCUAUUUGUAAAGUUCAGCCUCUGCAAAAGCAUUUCAAGGAUUGGAGCUAAUUUGGCUGGCAACUUCACUCUGAUUUUCAAUGUAUUUAUUAUCUACUAUGCUGGAAAUAUAAAGAUUUUUAGAAAUGGUGUAAUCCUCAGUUAAUAAAUGCUGGUGGUAUAGCUUUGUCA